CCAAGUAGAAUGCUUGGAUUCUGUGCAGCCAACUGCCUCAUUGAUGUGGAAUCACCAGUGCUGGCUGCGUUCAGAAGACGCUUGUCCAUGUACAUCUUGACAGAAACAGUCCAAGUGGAAUCAGCAGGAUCUGAUUCACAGAUUGAACAAUACUCUAGUAUAUUCUUGAUAGACGGAAUUUUUGAAAUUCAGUGACAUAUAUUUCUUAGAUUUAUGAAACUUGAGUUGUCACUUUCAUUGCAUAUCCUACCUAUGGCAUGGGAAAUAAUAUUCAUAGCUGUACUCUUUGUGGUGAGUAGCAGGGGGAGUGGUAGCUGACUAAUUGAACGAGUUCUAGCUAGGAUAGCGACCAAACGCGUGCCACUAAAAUAAGAGCAAGUAAAAAUAACUGACAUUAGGCUGAGUGAAAAAAUCAGGCUAACAAUGGAAGAAACGAGCCAACUGUAGCCCAAAACAAGAGAAGCUUAGAGCACAAUGUUCCUGGUUAAAUAGCACGUACCUCGCAAAAUAGCAGAGAUUGCGUAUGUAGUAGUCGCGCAAUGAAGAGUGCAGCUUGUACACUGAUGGCAAGAGAACUUAAAGAUGCUGGAGGUCAGGGCAGCAUCUCAAUCAUUCAGCUAAUUUAGGUAUCUAAGCUUUUAGGAUUAGCCAUGUGAUGGAGAACCUUUGAUAAAGUUUUUGAAACGGGGAGCCAGGUUUAACAAAGUAGGAUUAUCCAUACCCUUAUAACAAUAAAAAAUAUAUAUCAUCCAUAACCUUUCAGUAUUAGGCAUGUGAUGGAGCUAACCUUUAGGAUUGAUUAAGUAGCACACAAGAUGCAUGCCUGCCUAAAAUAGAUUACUGUUUCAUACUGUCAACUUUAGUACGUACGUGCUUGCCGGGCAUGUUCGCAAUAUCUGUUCUCUGAUAAAUUAUAUUAGAUCAGUCCUCGCGCACAACUAGUUCUGGGAGGAUGGGCUUUGAUAUAGUAAUUUACAGCAGCUUGUCCAUCAUAUAUCUGACUUUAUAGGUUACUAAUUUACUAUGUACUACUUACUGGAAGACACCGGAGUUGGAAUGAUGGAUCAUAUCAAACGUAGUAUCAUAACUGAAUCUUCUGUACGCAGGAUGAUAUUUUUAGUCUGUAAUUUUAGCCUCCAGAAACUUCAGUUCAGAUAAAAUUCUUCCAGAAUAACUGCCCUAGUAGAAGUGCUUACUAUCAGGUUUACAUCUGUCCAACAUAUUACUUUACCGCUUGUUUUUUGGUUGUAUCUUUGAGACUGAACUUCAGGAUCCAACCUUUCUGAAGAAUUACUUGGUUUGCAUACCAUAACCGUGCCUUUGGUCUUGCUUUGCUGUAUCCUGUGCCAUGGACUUCCACAUACCCUGACAGAAGAGGGCAUGGACUUCCACAUAUCAGAAGGCUUUCAAAGCUAUAUCAAACGCAUCAUAUUUGAAUCCUUUGUACAGGAAGAUGAUAUUUUUCGUCUAUAAUAUUCAACUACUACUGUAUUUGUUUAGCCUCCAGGAACUGCAGUUCAGGUGCCAAUGGACUUCCACAAACCCUGACAGAAGAAAGGCAUGUUCAUAUGGCCAAGCCUUAGAGGCUAGAGCUCUAUCAAGAUUUCCUGGGUUCUUCGGUAUUUUCUCCUCCAAAUGGAAUGACCUCAUCCACCCAGAGCUUGCAAUUUUCUGUUGGAUGGAAAUACCAUUUUGUCCCCUCUGCUUUUGAAUUAUUACCGCAACGGCAUGAUGCUUAUAUCAAAUAAGGUGCAUGAUCUUGUUAUAGCAAAAUAAACAAAUUUGCAUGAUA